rnacentral:lncRNA from 1 species
AAGCAUUUAAUAUAUAGUAUAUAGUACAUGGAAUAUUGGACUUAGAAGACUUUGGGCAAAUCAUAAUUCUCUGAAUCUUAGUUUCCUCAUCUAUAAAAUGGGAUAUUGUACAAGAUGUCAUCCAGGAUGCCUUUAAGCUCUAAAUCUAUGAUCCUAUGAUCUUUUCAGUAUAAAGGUGGGGGACUAAGGAAGCAGAAUGAAGCAUAUACUGUCAGAUUUGAUGACAAAAUUUUACAACUCAGUGAUGAGGAAAACAAUGUUACUGACAGAGACAGAGAAAUUGGAAUGGGGAGCUGUUCUGAAAGGUAUCCCACAAAAGUACUAGAUUUGGAGUGAGAGAGGCAAGAAGCAUUUAUCCCCUCUUGGGAAAGGGAAGGAGAGAAACAAAGAAAAAAGAGACGAAUACAACCGAAGAUACGACACAUGUGGAGACAGGCAGCCUUAGAAAACAGAACUGAAUAUCCAUCUCUUUGCCAGUUACCUGAGGCUCCAGGAAGCUGAUGAUAAGGUAAGGGCCCAUUGCUUGGCUUCUUGUCCGUUCUACCAGCCCCUGGGGACCUGGCUGUCCCAGAUGCUGGGAGCUGGGAAGUGUGUCA